CAGGUGUAGCAAUACAUGCUGACGAGCGGCGAACGGGUGAGUAAUGCUUUGGAAUCUUCCCAGUAGUGGGGAAUAACCAGUCGAAAGAUUGGCUAAUACCGCAUACGUCCGAGAGGGGAAAGCGGGGGCUCGUAAGACCUCGCGCUAUUGGAUGAGCCAAAGUCGGAUUAGCUAGUUGGUGGGGUAAUGGCCUACCAAGGCGACAAUCCGUAGCUGGUCUGAGAGGACGACCAGCCACACCGGAACUGAGACACGGUCCGGACUCCUACGGGAGGCAGCAGUGGGGAAUAUUGGACAAUGGGGGAAACCCUGAUCCAGCGACGCCGCGUGUGUGAAGAAGGCCUGCGGG
rnacentral:rRNA from 1 species